AACGAACGCUGGCGGCAUGCCUAACACAUGCAAGUCGAACGAGACCUUCGGGUCUAGUGGCGCACGGGUGCGUAACGCGUGGGAACCUGCCCUUAGGUUCGGAAUAACUCCCCGAAAGGGGUGCUAAUCCCGGAUAAUGUCUUCGGACCAAAGACUUAUCGCCUUUGGAUGGGCCCGCGUUGGAUUAGCUAGUUGGUAGGGUAAAAGCCUACCAAGGCGACGAUCCAUAGCUGGUCUGAGAGGAUGAUCAGCCACACUGGGACUGAGACACGGCCCAGACUCCUACGGGAGGCAGCAGUGAGGAAUAUUGGACAAUGGGCGAAAGCCUGAUCCAGCAAUGCCGCGUGAGUGAUGAAGGCCUUAGGGUUGUAAAGCUCUUUUACCCGGGAUGAUAAUGACAGUACCGGGAGAAUAAGCGCCGGCUAACUCCGUG
rnacentral:rRNA from 1 species